rnacentral:rRNA from 1 species
GGCACCAUUAAAGCUCACACGGUUAAUUUCCUUGGUCCAACCUUUUUCGUUUUCAGAAAGAGUCAACAAGUGCUCUUCGAUUUCAAAUGUAAAUUCUGCCAUUUUCUUCUCCUUUUUUAGUUUCAUUAGUUUAUUCGUAAAAUCUUGUAGAUUUUAGGAAAAUUUUAUAUAAUAUUGAUAUAAAAGAAGGGAGGCCAAUAUGAGACAUAAAUUCCAGCAAGUUCUAAAUAAAAUACAUGAUUUUUUAAAUGGAUAUGACCAACCUGACCAGACUGAAACCAACUCCCUUACAGCCACUAUUGAAGAGGCUAUCCAGAAACAAACCGCUGUUCACCUUAUCUUGUCUGAGACAAGCUUUACAGGUGACAUCAUCAAAUAUGAUCAGCAAGGCCAGCAAAUUAUCGUGAAAAAUUUUUCCAAAAAUGUGAGCCGGAUUAUCCGUAUAAGCGAUAUUCAACGCCUGCGAUUUGUCCCCUCAACUGUCCAAACAGCCCAAAAAAAUAGAUUUAAGAAAGAGUGAGAUGUAGUUGCUUCAUCCCACUCUUUUUCUUAGCGAAUUUGUUCAAAAUGUAAAUGAACUGCAAUAUGAUCUCCAUAACCACUUCUUUCCAAGUCACGUUGUAAACGAUAGGAAAUGUAGUGUUCUGCAAUGGUAAUGUAACCUGCGCCCAAUAAACGAUGUUCAACCAUAGAUUGAAUCAUACUGAUAGUCGCACGUUCCACCUUGGCUUCUUGUAAAUCCAAAACUACCUUCUUAGUGACUUGAGCAAGAUUUUGACGCAAAUCAUCUGUCAAAACAUAAACAGUUUGGGCUGCCUUCAAGAUGGCUUGGUAAAUCUUAUCUGGAUUAAAUUCAGCAAUUUCGCCAUUACGUUUGAUUACUUGCAUAGGUUUCUCCUUUAUUCUUUGUUUUCUUUGAUUUCUGCCAGCAUUUUUUCUUCUUCUACUGUCAGUUGAUAAUGUUCAAGUAAAUCUGGUCUGCGCUCGUAGGUUUUCUUUAAACUCUCGUACAAUCGCCACUGACGAAUCUUUUCAUGGUGGCCACUCAUCAAUACAUCUGGCACGACCAUGCCUCGAUAAUCAUAGGGACGUGUGUACUGAGGAUAUUCUAAAAGACCUGAAGAAAAACUAUCAUCUUGGUGGCUAGACUCCUUGCCAAUCACUUCUGGAAUCAGGCGAACUGUAGCAUCAAUCAUGGUCAUAGCUGCCAAUUCUCCACCAGUGAGGACAUAGUCGCCUAGGGAAAUCUCAUCUGUUACCAAGGUCUUAAUGCGCUCAUCAUAACCCUCAUAGUGCCCACAGAUAAAGAUUAGCUCUUCCUCUUGAGCCAAAUCUUCAGCAUAAGCCUGAUCAAACUGCUUUCCAGCAGGAUCGAGGAGAAUAACGCGCGGAUUUUUCUUUUCAAUAGCAUCAAAGGAAUUGAAAAUAGGUUGUGCUCUGAGCAACAUGCCCUGACCGCCUCCGUAGGGCUCAUCAUCUACAUGACGGGCCUUUUCAGCAUUUUCUCGAAAAUUAUGAUACUGGAUAUCCAAGAGCCCUUUUUCUCGAGCCUUUCCAACGAUUGAGUGCUCCAGUGGAGAAAACAUCUCUGGAAAGAGGGUUAAAAUAUCAAUCUUCAUCGUCUAACCCUUCUAAGAUUUCCACAUCGAUCCGUUUAUUUGGAAUAUCAACAUUGAGAACCACUGGUGGGAUAUAAGGUAAAAGCAAAUCACGUUUGCCUUUUCGUUUGACCACCCAGACAUCAUUAGCACCUGGUUGCAGGAUUUCCUUGAUGGUUCCAACCAAGCUAUCACCCUCAUAGACUUCCAAACCGAUAAUCUCGUGAUAGUAAAAUUCACCAUCGUCUAGGUCAUUCAAAUCUUCCUCAGCGACCUUGAGACUGUAUCCCUUGUACUUUUCGAUAGUAUUGAUAUGGUACAUAUCUUUGAAUUUAAUAAUGUCAAAGUUCUUCUGUUUACGGUGGCUAGCGAUGGUCACUGUUUGGACAAACUGAUCUUUUUCAUCAAACAAAGCCAGCUCAGCUCCUUUUUUAAACCGUUCUUCUGCAAAAUCCGUCACAGACAAGACUCGCAUCUCACCCUGUAAUCCCUGCGUAUUAACGAUUUUCCCAACAUUAAAGUAGUUCAUCUUGUCUCCUGUAAUCUCCUUUUUUCCAUCUUAUUCUGACAAUUCUCGAAUAAUAGCCGCAAUUUUUUCCGAUUCUGACCAUUGUAAAUAAUGGUGAUUCCUUCCUAAAAUGAGUUUAGUAUUGGAAGUCCAAUAUUCUGAUUCUCUGUACUCUUUUUCUCUAUAAGUCUGACAAAAAAUAAAUACAGGGACAUGAGAUUCUAUCGACAAAUUCUCAAAAUCUUCCUCAGUAAUCUCUCCAGAUAUCUGAAAUUCUGGAUCUUGAUUUUCCAACUCUAAGCCUUUUUCUUGCAUUAAUUCCCAGAUUUUUUUAUUCGUUUCAGGACUAAAUGUUGCUUGAGUUAAGUUCUUAAAAUAAAGUUCAGGACCACACUCGUCAAUCAGCCUCAUCUGCUCUUCCAUUUCUGGAUAAGGAUUUUCUGAAAAAUCAGCAAACAUGACUUUUUUAGUUGUCGGUUCAAUUGCUACUAAAGUCUGACGCUUAAUUGGUUUCUCGAGUAAUUUGCAAGCUAAAAUUCCACUCCAACUAUGUGCACAAAGUAUAUAUUCAGAAAUUCCUAAUUCUUCAAGUACUUCAUAAACCGCAUCUGCAAGAUUAUCUAGAUUUUUUCCAGCUUGGUCAUGAAUCGGACUCCUACCUGUGUUCGGAAAAUCAAUUGUCAAAUAACCAAUUGUAGGAGGAGGUUUUUCAAGUAUAAGUGAAAAAUUUUCAUAACUUGGUAGCAAACCUGCUCCGUUUAGACAAACUAGCACUUUCUUUUGCUUUUGAUAAGUAACAGAGAGGCUACCAAUUUCUGUAGAUACUUCAAACCUCUUCAUAAAGAAAUCCACUCAUUCUAUAUAAUGAAUUAUUAAAAAUCCUUAUCCUUUAUUUUAUCACGUUCCAAAGAUUUUCUCAAGUUGGAGGAAGGGGACAACAUCUCUACUUUCCCUUCAAGAAUCCUCCCAAAUCAUGUUUAUGUUGGUAAUUAACGGCUGCGGUUUUGUCUUUCUCAAAGAUGGUUCUAGUUAGGUCAAUAUGCUUGAUAGCAGCAAUAGCGACGGUGUAGUGAAUGAUAUCAGCCAGUUCUAUGGCAGGUUCCUCGUUCGAAUCCUAUCCCUUCUUUUCGACCAGAGCGCCUAUUCAAAACCUCGGCUACUUCUCCGACUUCCUCCACUAACUUCAUAAAGAGACCUUCAUCAGUCCGAGACUGCUGUUAAUGUUCGAGUAAGUAGUCUUGGAAUUGCCUAAACGUUCAAUCUUUUAUAGUAUAUUGAAACUAGAAUAGUACACCUUUACUUCUAAAACAUUGUUAGAAAUCGAUUUGACUGUCCUGAUCGAUUUGUCCUGUUAUUAUUUCAUUUUACUAUAUCUUCUAUUCCACACAAAAAAGCGAGACAUCCGUCCCGCCCUUCUUAUUUUUCGUCAAUAACGAUUCUUACUUUUUUGUAUUCAGUUGGGACAGAGUAGACAAUCGUUCUUAUCGCAGAAAUAGUGCGACCCUUACGACCGAUUACACGACCCACAUCGCUUUGAUCAAGAUUCAAAUGAUAUUCCAAAAAUUCUGGUGUAUCUUCAAUCUUGAUAGUUAAGGCAUCUGGUUGUGAAAUUAAGGGUUUUACAAUCGCAAUAAUGAGAUUUUCAAUCGUAUCCAUCUGUCAACCUACUUUAAACUUAUUUUGAGAAUUUAGAAUCGUGGAAUUUUUUCAAUACGCCUUCUUUUGAAAGGAUGUUACGUACUGUGUCUGAAGGUUGAGCUCCAUUAGCCAACCAUGCAAGAACGCGGUCUUCUUUCAAAGUUACUUGGUUUUCAGCAACAAGUGGGUUGUAAGUUCCANCAACAGGUUGAUAUUCCUGUACUAGAGUAUGUAGUGAUGGAGGGACGCAGUAGGCUAACUAAAGCAGACGAUUGGAAGAGUCUGUCUAAGCAGUGAGGUGUGAAUUGAGUCAAAUGCUUAAUUCUAUAACAUUGAGCUGUGAUGGGGAGCGAAGUUUAGUAGCGAAGUUAGUGACGUCACACUGCCAAGAAAAGCUUCUAGCGUUUAAACAUACUCUACCCGUACCGCAAACCGACACAGGUAGUCGAGGCGAGUAGCCUCAGGUGAGCGAGAGAACUCUCGUUAAGGAACUCGGCAAAAUGACCCCGUAACUUCGGGAGAAGGGGUGCUGACUUUAAGUCAGCCGCAGUGAAUAGGCCCAAGCAACUGUUUAUCAAAAACACAGCUCUCUGCUAAAUCGUAAGAUGAUGUAUAGGGGGUGACGCCUGCCCGGUGCUGGAAGGUUAAGAGGAGUGCUUAGCGUAAGCGAAGGUAUGAAUUGAAGCCCCAGUAAACGGCGGCCGUAACUAUAACGGUCCUAAGGUAGCGAAAUUCCUUGUCGGGUAAGUUCCGACCCGCACGAAAGGCGUAAUGAUUUGGGCACUGUCUCAACGAGAGACUCGGUGAAAUUUUAGUACCUGUGAAGAUGCAGGUUACCCGCGACAGGACGGAAAGACCCCAUGGAGCUUUACUGCAGUUUGAUAUUGAGUGUCUGUACCACAUGUACAGGAUAGGUAGGAGUCUAAGAGAUCGGGACGCCAGUUUCGAAGGAGACGCUGUUGGGAUACUACCCUUGUGUUAUGGCCACUCUAACCCAGAUAGGUGAUCCCUAUCGGAGACAGUGUCUGACGGGCAGUUUGACUGGGGCGGUCGCCUCCUAAAAGGUAACGGAGGCGCCCAAAGGUUCCCUCAGAAUGGUUGGAAAUCAUUCGCAGAGUGUAAAGGUAUAAGGGAGCUUGACUGCGAGAGCUACAACUCGAGCAGGGACGAAAGUCGGGCUUAGUGAUCCGGUGGUUCCGUAUGGAAGGGCCAUCGCUCAACGGAUAAAAGCUACCCUGGGGAUAACAGGCUUAUCUCCCCCAAGAGUUCACAUCGACGGGGAGGUUUGGCACCUCGAUGUCGGCUCGUCGCAUCCUGGGGCUGUAGUCGGUCCCAAGGGUUGGGCUGUUCGCCCAUUAAAGCGGCACGCGAGCUGGGUUCAGAACGUCGUGAGACAGUUCGGUCCCUAUCCGUCGCGGGCGUAGGAAAUUUGAGAGGAUCUGCUCCUAGUACGAGAGGACCAGAGUGGACUUACCGCUGGUGUACCAGUUGUCUUGCCAAAGGCAUCGCUGGGUAGCUAUGUAGGGAAGGGAUAAACGCUGAAAGCAUCUAAGUGUGAAACCCACCUCAAGAUGAGAUUUCCCAUGAUUAUAUAUCAGUAAGAGCCCUGAGAGAUGAUCAGGUAGAUAGGUUAGAAGUGGAAGUGUGGCGACACAUGUAGCGGACUAAUACUAAUAGCUCGAGGACUUAUCCAA